GAUGAACGCUAGCGGCAGGCUUAACACAUGCAAGUCGAGGGGUAGAAGAAGCUUGCUUUUUUGAGACCGGCGCACGGGUGCGUAACGCGUAUGCAAUUUACCUUUCACAGAGGGAUAGCCCAGAGAAAUUUGGAUUAAUACCUCAUAGUAAUACGACUUGGCAUCAAGAUGUAUUUAAAGAUUUAUCGGUGAAAGAUGAGCAUGCGUCCCCUUAGCUAGUUGGUAUGGUAACGGCAUACCAAGGGUUCGAUGGGUAGGGGUCCUGAGAGGGAGAUUCCCCCCACUGGUACUGAGACACGGACCAGACUCCUUCGGGAGGCAGCAGUGAGGAAUAUUGGACAAUGGGCGCAAGCCUGAUCCAGCCAUGCCGCGUGCAGGAUGACGGUCCUAUGGAUUGUAAACUGCUUUUAUACAGGAAGAAACACCUUUACGUGUAGAGACUUGACGGUACUGUAAGAAUAAGGAUUGGCUAACUCCGUG
rnacentral:rRNA from 1 species